UUCCAGUCACAUCUUUAAUGAAAAGGUAAUGGGAGAAACAUAACAGUCCCAACUUCAUUACCCGAGAAAGAUUCAGUAAUAAAAACUAAAUCAAAGUGUCUGUCAUUCACAGGAGCGUCGGGGAACAGGAACUGUUCUGGCCAUAGUGUUCAUCAUCACGUCUUCGGGAGAUAUUUGCAUUUCUCUAAAUGGAUGACCUCCAAUUAGAUCAAUAUAACUUCAAUUUGAAUCUCAGGUUUUUUAACCUAAACUGAAGCAACCAAGAAAAGCAAAUGCUUAGACAUUCAAAUUAAGAGUUUUUUUUUUCAAAUUAAAUCCCAUUUAACAUAUAAAAUGCGACAUUUUCUUAAAUAAACUUCUACAUUUUAGUCUUUUUUUGACAAACUGAAAUAUAUUCACAGUACUUUAUUUUUUCCUCAAUGGGACUCUAAUUUUUAAAUUUUACACAAGAGACUGGCAUGAUCAUUAUUUAAUUGCACAUGACCUCUGGAAGAAGUUGCCCUUCAGAAAAUGAGACAUGGUCCAGCCCUCCAGGCCUGUGCGGUUUUUAGCCAUAAUGAUGCAGGAUUUCAGCAACAGGAAGUCCUUGACUGCCUUCAGCUGUGAAUCUAAGAUGCACCGAGUCCACCGGUAGCCCAUUUCUCUCCCACCUCCACCCCCCUACAGCCGUCAGAAAUCUGCAAUGCAUAAUUAGGUAGAGUCCCUGGAGAACGGGGAAGAUUUUUUUCUAUUAUUAUUGCAAAAAGUGGGAUUUAAAAAAAAAAAAAA